GCCAGUCACCGGGCCUGGAGAUCCCGUCCCACUGUCCCUGCUGCACGGAGUCAGGAACCAGCAGCCGGAGCUGAGCGCUACCCUCGCCGCAUGCUCCAGCCACUCCUCUCUGGGCAACAGGGAAGCCCCUCGGCACGCUGUGUCACACGCACAGCCGCGUGUGUGGAGAGUGAAGAUGCAGGGUGCACACUGUGCUGGUGGCAGCAACAGAAAUCAGAACAUUGCUCUCUGGGAGACCUGGCCUAACUGACCCUGGACGGGCACAGCUUCAAUGCCAAGGUGUCUUCUACCAAAGUGCACGGGUGAGAAGAAACCAGUGCUGUGGAGGCCUCAGGCCCACAGACAGAAUGAGGAGCCAGCCUGGGGAGGCAAGGAGAAGACUGAUGCCAGGCCUCAUGAGACGCACCAGCCGCGGCAGCCUUGCUGCCAGACCGGUCCAGCAAACCACAGCCCGGAACAAACAGGCCAAAGAACCCACAAAUCACCGAGCCGGAGAGCCCCGGGGAGGGAGCCAGUGCUGGCCCCUGCGCACGAGGCCCUGCACACAUGGCUGCCUCCACUUCAC